UAGGCUGAUGUUUUGGGGCUGGAUUUAGGC
rnacentral:piRNA from 1 species